rnacentral:rRNA from 1 species
AGCGAACGCUGGCGGCAGGCCUAACACAUGCAAGUCGAACGGAUCCUUCGGGAUUAGUGGCGGACGGGUGAGUAACACGUGGGAACGUGCCCUUUGGUUCGGAACAACUCAGGGAAACUUGAGCUAAUACCGGAUGUGCCCUUCGGGGGAAAGAUUUAUCGCCAUUGGAGCGGCCCGCGUCUGAUUAGCUAGUUGGUGAGGUAACGGCCCACCAAGGCGACGAUCAGUAGCUGGUCUGAGAGGAUGAUCAGCCACACUGGGACUGAGACACGGCCCAGACUCCUUCGGGAGGCAGCAGUGGGGAAUCUUGCGCAAUGGGCGAAAGCCUGACGCCGCCAUGCCGCGUGAAUGAUGAAGGUCUUAGGAUUGUAAAAUUCUUUCAGCGGGGACGAUAAUGACGGUACCCGCAGAAGAAGCUCCGGCUAACUUCGU